GCAUUGAAUAUGUAUCUAGCAUUUGUGAAAAUAUUCCCUUCUUCUUCGCAAUCCGAGUUCAUGCUGAGAUACUGUCUGUUUGCAUGGGGCACACCUGUUGUGAUCGUAGCAAUCACAACGAUAGUUGCAUUGGAUAAAUAUGGCGACACGAAAUCAUAUUGUCGACUGCUGGGCGUACCAUUCAUCGUGGCAAUCGUCACUCCAGCUGUCGUCGUAUUCGUCGGGAACAUCGUGGCUUUCUGUGCAAUCAUACGAUCGGUCCUAGGUUCGUUCAACCACAAAACAACGGGCUACCACAAAGCUCGUCGGGGCAUUGCAA